AUUGAACGCUGGCGGCAGGCCUAACACAUGCCAGUCGAACGGUAACAGGAAGCAGCUUGCUGCUUCGCUGACGAGUGGCGGACGGGUGAGUAAUGUCUGGGAAACUGCCUGAUGGAGGGGGAUAACUACUGGAAACGGUAGCUAAUACCGCAUAACGUCGCAAGACCAAAGAGGGGGACCUUAGGGCCUCUUGCCAUCGGAUGUGCCCAGAUGGGAUUAGCUAGUAGGUGGGGUAACGGCUCACCUAGGCGACGAUCCCUAGCUGGUCUGAGAGGAUGACCAGCCACACUGGAACUGAGACACGGUCCAGACUCCUACGGGAGGCAGCAGUGGGGAAUAUUGCACAAUGGGCGCAAGCCUGAUGCAGCCAUGCCGCGUGUAUGAAGAAGGCCUUCGGGUUGUAAAGUACUUUCAGCGGGGAGGAGGGGAGUAAAGUUAAUACCUUUGCUCAUUGACGUUACCCGCAGAAGAAGCACCGGCUAACUCCGUG
rnacentral:rRNA from 1 species